rnacentral:lncRNA from 1 species
UGGAGCCAAUCUGUACCCCACGGUUCAGUAGCCUGGUUCUGAGAAACUUGACACGUUGUUGAUCACGGGAGAGUAAAUCACUGAGAGAAAUGGAAGAAUUGGGAGAUAGAGAGGAGCCAGGCCCAUGCACAUGAUACAAGUUGAGCUGUAUGCUAGAUUUAGAUUCUGCAAAAUGUUCAUUUAUUAUACAAAAGCCUGUUGAAAUAAAUAUUUCUGCUAACACAGAACUUUAAAGCUUGCAGAAAAGAGAAAAUUUUACAUGCCUUGAAGUUCAGCCAGUGAUGUUGCAAGGAGACAGAAAGCAAGAAACCAAGCCAGCUCCAUCUCUGUAGGGAUUUCUUUUCCUUUUUUCUUUUUUCUUUUUUUUCUUGCUUAUGGUCUGUGUAGAUUAUAUAAAGAAACCCAGAAGCUCAUAGAGAUGUUAAAUUGUGGAGGAGAAAUUAUUAUUUGGAAAAUGUCACAAUCUGCCAACCAACUGAGUCAUUGAAUAAGUUGAGGAGAUGGGUGGUGCAUUUAUAACUAUCAUAUAUGUGACAUGUUGGAUCUUUUUCCAUCAGAGAUUGUUUCCAAUAAUACUUACUUAUUUCCCUUAUUUUUCCAUUUUUCCAGAAUCAAAUUAACAAUACACAACCAAUAAUAGGAACUUCAGCUCAAUAGAAGGAGUGAUAAAGUGUGAAAUCUCAGGUUUGAACUCAAAUACUAAACUCAUAAAUAUCAUAUAUACCCAUUUUGAGCUUUACACAAGUGGCU